AUUGAACGCUGGCGGCAUGCCUUACACGAUGCAAGUCGAACGGCAGCAUGGGUGCUUGCACCUGAUGGCGAGUGGCGAACGGGUGAGUAAUGCAAUCGGGAACGUACCCGGAAAGUGGGGGAUAACGUAGCGAAAAGUUACGCUAAUACCGCAUAGUUCUGUGAGCAGGAAAGCGGGGGAUCGCAAGACCUCGCGCUUCCGGAGCGGCCGAUGUCGGAUUAGCUAGUUGGCGGGGUAAAGGCCCACCAAGGCAACGAUCCGUAGCGGGUCUGAGAGGAUGAUCCGCCACACUGGGACUGAGACACGGCCCAGACUCCUACGGGAGGCAGCAGUGGGGAAUUUUGGACAAUGGGCGCAAGCCUGAUCCAGCCAUGCCGCGUGAGUGAAGAAGGCCUUCGGGUUGUAAAGCUCUUUCGGCGGGGAAGAAAUCGCAUCUCCUAAUACGGGGUGUGGAUGACGGUACCCGAAUAAGAAGCACCGGCUAACUACGUG
rnacentral:rRNA from 1 species